rnacentral:rRNA from 1 species
UACGUAGGAGGCGAGCGUUGUCCGGAAUUACUGGGCGUAAAGAGCGCGUAGGCGGCGCUGUACGACCCGUGUGAAAGCCCCCGGCUCAACUGGGGAGGGUCACGGGUAACGGCAGUGCUCUGAGUGCAGGAGAGGGAAGUGGAACUCCGGGAGUAGCGGUGAAAUGCGUAGAUAUCAGGAGGAACACCGGUGGUGUAAACGGCUUUCUGGACCAUAACUGACGCUGAGGCACGAAAGCGUGGGUAGCAAACAGG